AGGUGCUGCAUGGCUGUCGUCAGCUCGUGUCGUGAGAUGUUGGGUUAAGUCCCGCAACGAGCGCCACCCUCGCCAUUAGUUGCCAUCAUUUAGUUGGGCACUCUAAUGGGACUGCCGGUGUCAAACCGGAGGAAGGUGGGGAUGACGUCAAGUCCUCAUGGCCUUUAUGACCAGGGCUACACACGUACUAUAAUGGCCGAUACAAAGGGCAGCCACAGUGCGAACUGGAGCAAAUCCCUUAAAGUCGGUCUCAGUCCGGAUCGGAGUCUGCAACUCGACUCCGUGAAGUUGGAAUCGCUAGUAAUCGUGGAUCAGCAUGCCACGGUGAAUACGUUCCCGGGCCUUGUACACACCGCCCGUCACACCACGGAAGUUGGUUGUACCAGAAGUAGUUGAGCGAACCUUCGGGGCGCAGACUACCAAGGUAUGGCUGGUAACUGGGGUGAAGUCGUAACAAGGUA
rnacentral:rRNA from 1 species